rnacentral:rRNA from 1 species
AGCGAACGCUGGCGGCAGGCCUAACACAUGCAAGUCGAACGAACCUUUCGGGGUUAGUGGCGGACGGGUGAGUAACACGUGGGAACGUGCCUUUAGGUUCGGAAUAACUCAGGGAAACUUGUGCUAAUACCGAAUGUGCCCUUCGGGGGAAAGAUUUAUCGCCUUUAGAGCGGCCCGCGUCUGAUUAGCUAGUUGGUUGAGGUAAUGGCUCACCAAGGCGACGAUCAGUAGCUGGUCUGAGAGGAUGAUCAGCCACAUUGGGACUGAGACACGGCCCAAACUCCUACGGGAGGCAGCAGUGGGGAAUCUUGCGCAAUGGGCGAAAGCCUGACGCAGCCAUGCCGCGGGAAUGAUGAAGGUCUUAGGAUUGUAAAAUUCUUUCACCGGGGACGAUAAUGACGGUACCCGGAGAAGAAGCCCCGGCUAACUGCGU